rnacentral:tRNA from 1 species
UAGAUUGAAGCCAGUUGAGUAGGGUAUUUAGCUGUUAACUAAGUUUUCGUGGGGGUUGGAGCCCCACCAAUCUAG